GCUCCAGUAGCUCAACGGAUAGAGCAACAGCCUUCUAAGCUGUAGGUUCAUGGUUCGAAUCCAUGCUGGGGCG
rnacentral:tRNA from 1 species